UUAUGUUCGGGAAAGAUUGACCGGGGUUGUAGGCUGGGAUGAUGAUUUCGUGGCUGUUGGUGCUGUUUAUAUUACAUACAUGAAAUUGACGAUCAUUACAGUGUUGGUUGUGAAUGGAUACUAUGCUGGUAGAGGGGAACAAAUAAUGUAGUGUGUUUUCCAUGUAAAUAUGAUUGGUAAGGUUUAUAGUUCAGCUCUCUUUCACUUUGAAAAUUUUGUUUGUUAAAUUUCUGAUGUUGAUCUAAUUAUCAUACAUAGCAUUCAAUUGUUGGUGAAUAUUAUAUAUUAGCCAUGAAUCGGGGAAUUUGUUGCUGAGAUGGUCUUAAAGAAAGGUGGCAAAAAUUGAACGAGUCUCCACCUUUAGCUGGUGCCACUGAUAAGAUGCACCUUUUAGUUGCACUGAAUUUUGAUAUGUUUGUCUGAAUUUUGCAACCAUAAGCGAAACAGGCACACGGGCUCGUGAUUGUAGCGGUGAAGUGGUGGCUGAUGCCUUUUGGUUGUUUGAUAUGGGUUUGUGGUGUAGAGCUAUGAAAGUGAUGGUGAAUCUAAUGUUGCUGAGCUGAAGGUUGGAAGAAAGGAGGCUAAUGGCAGAUUCCGGAACUUUGUUGAGAGAAUGGGGAAUCACUGUACAUAAUUCUGGAAUGUAUACGAGUGUUCUGUCUCUGUAUAGCAUGGGUUUUGUUUAAUUAUUUUUAUGUCAAUGUGAUUUUUGCAAAUUUUUUUUUUUUUAACUUGUUCAGGGAAACUUGAUUUUCGUA